rnacentral:lncRNA from 1 species
GGUAGCAACCCGUUUGGUUAUCUUUCUGUGCUGUGGAAGGUUUGUUCUUUCACUCUGCACUAUUUUGCAAUAAAUAUUGCUAUUGCUCACUUUGGGUUUAUAUUGCCUUUAUGAGCUGUAACACUCACCAUGAAGGUCUGCAGCUUUACUCUUGAAGCUUAGCGAGACCACUAACCCACCAGAAGGAAGAAACUCCGGACACGCCGCCUUUAAGAACUGUAAUACUCAGUGCGAGGGUUCACGGCUUCAUUCUUGAGCUCAAUAUAGGGAAUCCCUAACAGAGGACUUCCAGGAUAUCCUAGGGACAGCAGAGCCUCAAGAUCCAGGGAGGAUCCUGGAUACCUGAGUCACCACUUGGAGGGGAAUCUCCUGGAAGAACUGAUUGAUCAGCAACAUCUACAUUCAACUUGAGGUUGUUCCGUAAGACAGGAUGGCACAGAGCUUUAAGCAACAGCUCUGGCAUCUGACUUCCGUGUUUGCAUCUGGCUUUGAGUGUGACUUUGGACAAGUUCCUUAGCUGGCCAGAUACUCUUGUCCUCAUCCAUAAGAUGGAGCAACAACGAAGCCUUUCUCAUAGGUUAUUGUGAGGAUUGAAUGAAUUAGUAUAUGCCAAGCAUUUGAAGCAGUGCCUGACAUGUAGUAGAUGCUGAGUAACACUGGGGAUCUGCCUUUUCUUUUUCCUCUAUGUGACUGGCAGCCUUAGCCAGACCACAUCAGCUGAGAUGAUUUUCUCUGUAAGUUACCAGGAUCACCUAGAUCUGGCCAAGGACUUGCCCCUGUAAGGAAAUUUGGAAUAAGCAAAAAAGAUCACUAGGUGUCGCCGAUGGAAAACUAGGUUGUUUUGAGCAUACCUUUGCAUGUUAUCUGAUUUUAGCCUUUCAGGGUCUUUGAGCUAUUUUAUGGCUCUGUAGGUUGUACAUAACUGAUAGCAAUGCAAAAUAAUUCUUGUCUAUAGACAUGCAAAUAAAUCCUGUCCAGCGGUUCAAUUGACUACCCUCUUCCCUAAGGAAAAAGCCAGUUUCAGUCUAUUUGUAAAUUCAUUUCCACUUUCCUUACUCCCUAUAAAUUUCUGCUUUUCAGAUUUCUCCUUUGUUAACGUCUGCCUGGUUCCCUCAUUAAGUCAAAUAAAAUCUUUAACACGUUAAA